rnacentral:rRNA from 1 species
GGGAAUUUUCCNCAAUGGGCGAAAGCCUGACGGAGCAAUGCCGCGUGGAGGAUGACGGCCUGUGGGUUGUAAACUCCUUUUUUCAGAGAAGAAGAUCUGACGGUAUCUGAGGAAUAAGCAUCGGCUAACUUCGUGCCAGCAGCCGCGGUAAUACGAGGGAUGCAAGCGUUAUCCGGAAUUAUUGGGCGUAAAGCGUCCUGAGGUGGCUUAAAAAGUCGUUCGUGAAAGCUCAGGGCUUAACCUUGAAAUUGCGGCCGAAACUUCUAAGCUUGAGUAUAGUAGGGGCAGAGGGAAUUUCCGGAGGAAUGGUGAAAUAUGUAGAUAUCGGAAAGAAGGCCAAAGGCGAAAGCACUCUGCUGGGCUAAUACUGACACUGACAGACGAAAGCUAGGGGAGCGAAUGGGAUUAGAUACC